rnacentral:rRNA from 1 species
AUUGAACGCUGGCGGCAUGCCUUACACAUGCAAGUCGAACGGUAACAGGUCUUCGGAUGCUGACGAGUGGCGAACGGGUGAGUAAUGCAUCGGAACGUGCCCAGUAGUGGGGGAUAGCCCGGCGAAAGCCGGAUUAAUACCGCAUACGACCUGAGGGCGAAAGGGGGGGAUCGCAAGACCUCUCGCUAUUGGAGCGGCCGCUGUCAGAUUAGCUAGUUGGUGGGGUAAAGGCCUACCAAGGCAACGAUCUGUAGUUGGUCUGAGAGGACGACCAGCCACACUGGGACUGAGACACGGCCCAGACUCCUACGGGAGGCAGCAGUGGGGAAUUUUGGACAAUGGGCGCAAGCCUGAGCCAGCAAUUCCGCGUGCAGGAAGAAGGCCUUCGGGUUGUAAACUGCUUUUGUCAGGGAAGAAAUCUUCUGGGCUAAUACCCUGGGAGGAUGACGGUACCUGAAGAAUAAGCACCGGCUAACUACGUGCCAGCCGCCGCGGUAACAC